rnacentral:rRNA from 1 species
UCUUUCCUCCCGAGUGCUUGCACUCAAUUGGAAAGAGGAGUGGCGGACGGGUGAGUAACACGUGGGUAACCUACCCAUCAGAGGGGGAUAACACUUGGAAACAGGUGCUAAUACCGCAUAACAGUUUAUGCCGCAUGGCAUAAGAGUGAAAGGCGCUUUCGGGUGUCGCUGAUGGAUGGACCCGCGGUGCAUUAGCUAGUUGGUGAGGUAACGGCUCACCAAGGCCACGAUGCAUAGCCGACCUGAGAGGGUGAUCGGCCACACUGGGACUGAGACACGGCCCAGACUCCUACGGGUGGCAGCAGUAGGGAAUCUUCGGCAAUGGACGAAAGUCUGACCGAGCAACGCCGCGUGAGUGAAGAAGGUUUUCGGAUCGUAAAACUCUGUUGUUAGAGAA